rnacentral:rRNA from 1 species
UACGGAGGGUGCAAGCGUUAUCCGGAUUCACUGGGUUUAAAGGGUGCGUAGGUGGGUUGGUAAGUCAGUGGUGAAAUCUCCAGGCCUAACUUGGAAACUGCCAUUGAUACUAUCAAUCUUGAAUACCGUGGAGGUCAGCGGAAUAUGUCAUGUAGCGGUGAAAUGCUUAGAUAUGACAUAGAACACCAAUUGCGAAGGCAGCUGGCUACGCGGAUAUUGACACUGAUGCACGAAAGCGUGGGGAUCAAACAGG